rfam:Triticum aestivum genome assembly, contig: Triticum_aestivum_CS42_TGACv1_scaffold_435370_5DL
CAAGUACUCCCUCCGUCCCAAAUUACUUGUCGGAGAAAUGGAUAAAAAUGAAUGUAACUACAACUAAAAUACAUCUAGAUACAUCCAUUUGUCGACAAGUAUUUCCGGACGGAGGGAGUAGAAU